UAGGGAAUCUUCCGCAAUGGGCGAAAGCCUGACGGAGCAACGCCGCGUGAGUGAUGAAGGUCUUCGGAUCGUAAAACGCUGUUAUUAGGGAAGAACAAAUGUGGAAGUAACUAUGCACGUCUUGACGGUACCUAAUCAGAAAGCCACGGCUAACUACGUGCCAGCAGCCGCGGUAAUACGAAGGUGGCAAGCGUUAUCUGGAAUUAUUGGGCGUAAAGCGCGCGUAGGCGGUUUUUUAAGUCUGAUGUGAAAGCCCACGGCUCAACCGUGGAGGGUCAUUGGCAACUGGAAAACUUGAGUGCAGAAGAGGAAAGUGGAAUUCCAUGUGUAGCGGUGAAAUGCGCAGAGAUAUGGAGGAACACCAGUGGCGCAGGCGACUUUCUGGUCUGUAACUGACGCUGCUGUGCGAAAGCGUGGGGAUCAAACAGG
rnacentral:rRNA from 1 species